AGCUUACCAGGAUUUUGCACAGGCUGAAAGUUAAACAUAGCAUAAAGUUAACAAAUGCAAAAAUUUUAGUGGGGAAAAUCAAUCCAGAACAAUCAUCAUUUUAGUGAACCAGACUUUUCAGUUCUUCCCAGAUAAGGAAGAGAAGCAGCAUAAUAUUCUGCACUCAAUUGUAUUUUCUGAGCAGGUACGCAAAACCUAAACUAUGAGCUUACAAACAUCUGAGGAAGCAGUCUUUCUCAUAAACAUUCAAUUCCAUAUAGAAUUAACAUCCCGUAGGACAUGGAACAAGUACUUUAAUUAAAGCUACACAUGAACCCCAAAACCAAAACCAAGAAAUCUAUAAUUUUCUAAGUAGAGAGAAGUGAAGCAGCGAAAAAAAAAAUGUAGCUAAUCAGAAGAAAAUCUAUAAAAUCAAUCAAAUCUAUGUUAGGCUAAAUUAAUAGAAAAUUUAACUAAAUAAGCCCUAGGGAUAUAAAAUAAAAUAUCUACAGUUCGACUAAGAAAUAAACAUCUAAAACCCAAAAGUGCAUCACAUUUGGAGGGAAAUCGAAUGGACCUAAAAAUGGAGCAUAACUUGGAAAAAAAUUAAUAGAAAUUCCUAUUAAAAAAACUGAAGAGAUCUAAAAAAUGGGAAAAAAAUCAGGAUUCCAUGCAAUUUUAAAUGGAAACAAAGAAAUCGCUGAUAUGGG
rnacentral:misc_RNA from 1 species